rnacentral:rRNA from 1 species
AUUGAACGCUGGCGGCAGGCCUAACACAUGCAAGUCGAGCGGAUGAAGGGAGCUUGCUCCUGGAUUCAGCGGCGGACGGGUGAGUAAUGCCUAGGAAUCUGCCUGGUAGUGGGGGAUAACGUCCGGAAACGGGCGCUAAUACCGCAUACGUCCUGAGGGAGAGAGUGGGGGAUCUUCGGACCUCACGCUAUCAGAUGAGCCUAGGUCGGAUUAGCUAGUUGGUGGGGUAAGGGCCUACCAAGGCGACGAUCCGUAACUGGUCUGAGAGGAUGAUCAGUCACACUGGAACUGAGACACGGUCCAGACUCCUACGGGAGGCAGCAGUGGGGAAUAUUGGACAAUGGGCGAAAGCCUGAUCCAGCCAUGCCGCGUGUGUGAAGAAGGUCUUCGGAUUGUAAAGCACUUUAAGUUGGGAGGAAGGGCAGUAAGUUAAUACCUUGCUGUUUUGACGUUACCAACAGAAUAAGCACCGGCUAACUUCGUG